GCAGUCGAACGGCAGCACGGGCUUCGGCCUGGUGGCGAGUGGCGAACGGGUGAGUAAUAUAUCGGAACGUACCCAAGAGUGGGGGAUAACGUAGCGAAAGUUACGCUAAUACCGCAUACGAUCYAAGGAUGAAAGCAGGGGACCGCAAGGCCUUGUGCUCCUGGAGCGGCCGAUAUCUGAUUAGCUAGUUGGUGAGGUAAAGGCUCACCAAGGCAACGAUCAGUAGCUGGUCUGAGAGGACGACCAGCCACACUGGAACUGAGACACGGUCCAGACUCCUACGGGAGGCAGCAGUGGGGAAUUUUGGACAAUGGGGGCAACCCUGAUCCAGCAAUGCCGCGUGAGUG
rnacentral:rRNA from 1 species